UACGUAGGGACCAAGCGUUGUCCGGAAUCAUUGGGCGUAAAGAGCGUGUAGGCGGCUUGUUAAGUCUUGCGUGAAAUCUCGGGGCUCAACCCCGAGCGGUCGUGAGAAACUGGCAGGCUAGAGUGCGGGAGAGGAGAGUGGAAUUCCUGGUGUAGCGGUGAAAUGCGCAGAUAUCAGGAAGAACACCCGUGGCGAAGGCGGCUCUCUGGAACGCAACUGACGCUGAGAGACGAAAGCUAGGGGAGCGAAUGGG
rnacentral:rRNA from 1 species